CCGGCGACCGGCGCACGGGUGAGUAACACGUAUGCAACCUGGCCGUGACAGAUGGAUAACCGGGAGAAAUCCCGCCUAAUACAACAUAAUGCCGGGAGGGGACAUCCCCUGCCGGUCAAAGGGGGCGACCCCGGUCACGGAUGGGCAUGCGGCGCAUUAGGUAGUUGGUGGGGCAACGGCCCACCAAGCCGACGAUGCGUAGGGGUCCUGAGAGGAAGGUCCCCCACAUUGGAACUGAGACACGGUCCAAACUCCUACGGGAGGCAGCAG
rnacentral:rRNA from 1 species